AUCGAUGAAGAACGCAGCGAAACGCGAUAGGUAAUGUGAAUUGCAGAAUUCAGUGAAUCAUCGAAUCUUUGAACGCACAUUGCGCCUCCUGGUAUUCCGGGGGGCAUGUCUGUUUGAGCGUCAGUACCCACUCUUUCGAAAUCUUUUUUUCGUUAGGUCUUGAAGGACACUUGUCCUUUCAAUGUAGACGCUUGCGAACCCGAUACCGAUCAUGACGUAGUAAUUUCAUUUCGUCUUGUCAAGUUAAAGGCCGCCUGAACACCAAACUUUGUAGUUUGACCUCAGAUCAGACAAGGAUACCCGCUGAACUUAAGCAUAUCAAUAAGCGGAGGAAAAGAAACCAACAGGGAUUGCCUCAGUAACGGCGAGUGAAGCGGCAAGAGCUCAAAUUUGAAAUCUGAUACCUUCGGUGUCCGAGUUGUAAUUUGAAGAGGAGUCUUCGGUUUGGGUCGUGGCCUAUGUUCCUUGGAACAGGACGUCGUAGAGGGUGAGAAUCCCGUACACGGCUGACGAUCUCUUACCAUGUGAAGUUCCUUCGAAGAGUCGAGUUGUUUGGGAAUGCAGCUCUAAAUGGGUGGUAAAUUUCAUCUAAAGCUAAAUACCGGCGAGAGACCGAUAGCGCACAAGUAGAGUGAUCGAAAGAUGAAAAGCACUUUGAAAAGAGAGUUAAACAGUACGUGAAAUUGUUGAAAGGGAAGCGCUUGCAAUCAGACUUGCCUUUGGUCGAUCAACGUUCCUUCUGGUUCGUGCACUCGGCCUUUGGCAGGCCAGCAUCGGUUCGGACGGUGGGAUAAAGGCUUUGGGAAUGUGGCUCUCUUCGGGGAGUGUUAUAGCCCAGGGUGCAAUGCCGCCUGACCGGACCGAGGACCGCGCUUCGGCUAGGAUGCUGGCGUAAUGGUUGUAAGCGACCCGUCUUGAAACACGG
rnacentral:rRNA from 1 species